GAAUAAUCAAGGUGUUGUUAUUGCAAAAUCAAACCAAAGCGAAGGCGGAAGUGUUUCAAAACCUCGUCUGUUUCUUGCUCUCGAUUUAUUUGCUUUACAAUGUGAGAUAAAUAUGACAAAGAAAGAUCAUUGGUAUCGAAUCUUUAACUAGAAAGUGACGCAAUGUUUCUAUGAGCUAUGAACCAUGGCUUGCUGCCCGACCGAAGAGAAAUAUGCCUACGAAGACUGUCGAUUUGAGAAAGAUGUCGACGAAAAUUUUCAUUGUUCUAUCUGCUACAAUGUUCUUAAAGAACCAAGGACGUGUAGGAAUAAUGAUCACAUCUUUUGUCUUGCCUGCAUCACUCAACAUCUAAAGGUGAACUCUCAAACUUGUCCUGAAUGUAAUGAGCAUUUGAGCGUCGAUACGCUUCGUCGGCCGCGUGUGUUGAAUAACAUGUUGUCUAAACUAAAGAUAAAUUGUGAUCAUGCCAGUCGGGGAUGUCCUCAGUUUACCUGUCUUGAAGAUCUCAAAACUCACGUGGCGAAUUGUGGCUAUGCACCUGUGUUGUGUUCAAAUGCAGAGUGUGGUAUGGAGAUUAACAAACAAGAUAAGGUCCAUCAUGAGACUGAAGUUUGUGAUUAUAGAAAAGUGAAAUGUCAUGACUGUGGACAGAUACAGGAAGAUGUCGGAACAUUGAAAGGAAGUUUAAUGGAACUGGAUAGGAAAGUGGAAGCAGUGAAAGAAAUUAAUAAGGAAAUCAACAAAAAAGUUGAAGCAGUGAAGGAAAUGAAUGGAAAAGUGGAAGCAGCAGUGAAGGAAAUGAACGAAAAAGUGGAAGCAUCAAGUGGACAAACGAAGAAGGAAAUCGGGGAAGUUAAGAAAGAAGUCAAAGAUAUGAAGGACAAUCUUUCCAAAGUGAACAAAGACAUGGACGAAGUCAAAGUCAUGAUGAUUCAAAUGUUAGAGAAGUUAAAUAUGCUUGAACUGCUGAACAAACUGCCAUCUCCGACUGAGGGAAUGUUGAACACACCAAGAGAGGAUAUUUUGAUUGCAGGUGGAUAUGGAGGACCUUGGAGUGAAUCUGGCCAAAGUACGGAAAUUUAUUCCUGGGAGAAAAAUGGUUGGUUUGAGGUGUCGCCAAUGAAUGACGACCAUGGAGGUUCUUCCUCAUUUAUCUAUAAAGACCAGUUCUUUGUUCUCGGGGGAGUAAAUAGUAAGGCAAUAGAGACCUUGAAUCUCGAUGAAUUACCUUUCAAAUGGACGAAAUUUCUUGGGGAACUGCCUUAUGAAUGUGUUGGUCAUCAAACUGUUGUUUACCAGCAGAUUGCUAUUUACAUUGGUGGAUACAAAUAUGGCAAAGGAUGGUCUAACGUGAUUAGUGAAUUGCAACUUAUUUCACCUUGCAUUACGAAAGAGUUGUGUCAAAUGCGUGAACCACGAGCAUAUCAUGGCGCUGAGGUAUUUGAAGAUAAAGUGCUGAUUUUAGGAGGAUAUUGCCCUGGUAUUAAGACUACAGACAGUGUAUUGGAGUUUGAUCCAAAAAGGAAUGAAUGUAAAGAGAUGCCAAAAUUGCCGUCUGCCUUCAGGAGAAUGGCGACAGUUCGCUGGAGGGAUAAAGUAGUGUUGCUUGGAGGUCGUAAUAAGGACGACAAAGUUUUGAAUGAUGUUUUCAUGUACGACUCCAAGACAGGCAAGACCACAGCCUUGCCAUCCAUGUCGGAGAAGAGAUGUGCAUGUUGUGCAGUUAUUACUGGAAAUACCAUUGUAGUGAUGGGAGGGGAGAAUGAGAAAGAUGAAUCUCUCAGUUCAGUGGAGUGUUUUACAAUGGGAGGUUCUACAUGGGAGUAUCUUCCUGUCAUGAACAAACCAAGAUCCAGAGCAGUUGCUGAAGUUUUACCUUCCACACGAAAAUAUGUGUAAAUUGGACAUUGAGACAAUCGUAAGACGUUAAUUCAUAAUUGGGUUACGUUUUCGGGCACGAUUACAUGGUUCGAUCAGCUUUGCUGGGUUGAGAUAUGGUAUGAUUUUGAUGUAUUGAAAUAUUCCACGGUUUAUGAUUUGGAGAAAUUGCAUUAAUUUUCCAAGAUAGUUUGCCAUGUAAUUGAUGCUGAACAACUAGCAAUUUACAGUAAUAAUAAUUUCGUUAAACUACAGGUUUGAUCAAUUGCAUUCCAGCUUCUAAUAUUGUCGUCUGACAUGGUUCAGCUUUGCUGGAUUGAGAUAUGGGAUGAUUUUAAUGUCUUAAAAUAUUCCAGAUUCAUGAUUCGGAGAAAUUACAUCAACCGAACAACUAGCAAUUUACAAUGCCGAACAACUAGCAAUUUACAAUCAUAAUAAUUUCGUUAAUCUACAGGUUUGAUCAAUUGCAUUCCAGCUCCUAAUAUUGUCGUUUGAUUUCAACUUUAUAUACGUUGUGACUUAUGUCGAUACAUUAAAAUCAUCCUGCUUCAUCGUGAAUCACAUCUCAAUAACUAUAUAGUGAUGUUUAUGUUAGUUGAAUAUAUACAGAGAAUGUACAAAAUUAUAGCAAAAUCCAUUCUCCACAGCCUUUCUUAACAUCACAUUGCAAAUUUUAAGAGUUUAAAAUUUUCUUUGUAACAUCCGGCUGUGGUUUCGUUUGAAAAAAUUGAUUGAUUGACCUAGAUUCUUUUAUUAUAGUAUUAGGUAGUCAUGACUAUAAGUUAUGACAAAUAAAAAAAUUAAUAAAGUUUUAUCUCUUAACUCUGAAAUAAA